rnacentral:rRNA from 1 species
AUUGAACGCUGGCGGCAUGCCUUACACAUGCAAGUCGAACGGUAACAGGUUAAGCUGACGAGUGGCGAACGGGUGAGUAAUGUAUCGGAACGUGCCCAGUCGUGGGGGAUAACUGCUCGAAAGAGCAGCUAAUACCGCAUACGACCUGAGGGUGAAAGCGGGGGAUCGCAAGACCUCGCGCGAUUGGAGCGGCCGAUAUCAGAUUAGGUAGUUGGUGAGGUAAAGGCUCACCAAGCCGACGAUCUGUAGCUGGUCUGAGAGGACGACCAGCCACACUGGGACUGAGGCACGGCCCAGACUCCUACGCGAGGCAGCAGUGGGGAAUUUUGGACAAUGGGCGCAAGCCUGAUCCAGCCAUGCCGCGUGCGGGAAGAAGGCCUUCGGGUUGUAAACCGCUUUUGUCAGGGAAGAAAAGGUUCUGGCUAAUACCUGGGACUCAUGACGGUACCUGAAGAAUAAGCACCGGCUAACUACGUG